rnacentral:tRNA from 2 species
AACAUAGAAGUAAAAUUUACAUUUAGUUUCGACCUAAAAUUUAAGGAAAAAUAACCUCAUGUUU